rnacentral:rRNA from 1 species
GACGAACCGUGCGAACGUUGUUCGGAAUCACUGGGCUUAAAGGGCGCGUAGGCGGGUUCGCAAGUCUGUGGUGAAAGCCUCCAGCUUAACUGGAGAAGUGCCAUGGAUACUGCGCAUCUUGAGGAGGGUAGGGGCGUCUGGAACGGUCGGUGGAGCGGUGAAAUGCGUUGAUAUCGACCGGAACUCCGGUGGCGAAGGCGAGGCGCUGGACCCUUCUGACGCUGAGGCGCGAAAGCCAGGGGAGCAAACGGG